CAAUAGCGUAUACUAAUGUUGUUGCAGUUAAAAAGCUCGUAGUUGAACUUCUGGUAGGAGUGUCCCGGCCUUUUUGUUUUUACAAAUUGUAUGCUGUGUGACAUCUCUGGCCAUCCUUCUUCUUUGUUUAAAGAAGAUCUUUCACUGUAAAAAAAUUAGGGUGCUCAAAGCAAAAGUUUCUUUGGAAUAUAUUAGUAUGGGAUGAUAAGAUAGGCUCUAGAUGCUAUUUUGUUGGUUUGCACAUUUAGAGAAUGAUUAACAGGGACAGUUGGGGGUAUUCGUAUUUACAUGUCAGAGGUGAAAUUCUUGGAUUUUGGAAAGACGAACUACUGCGAAAGCAUUUACCAAGGAUGUUUUCAUUAA
rnacentral:rRNA from 1 species